CCAAUCAACCCAAUCCCUUUCCCCCCCAUCAUCCUCCUCCUGUAGCCGCCCGCCCUAUUCCUGUUGCUGUUGGCGUUGGAGCUGCUCCUCCUCCUGCUCGCCUCUCCUCUCGUCUCUUCUUCCUUCUCUUCUCUUCUAUCGGGCUGUUGCCGUCCGUCGGUCGGUCGGUCAGACGCCGUGCCUGCCGGCAGCUCGGGGGUUUGGUCUGGUGCGGUCUGGUGGUGGCGAUUUUGGAGCUCGGGGCUGCGCGGGCCGAGAAGGGGAGGCGGCGAAAUUGUGGGGGACAGGCCGGAGCGCGGGGCGAAAGCGCGAGGCUGUUGGCCCCCUUUUGGUCCGGUUUGCUUCCGGGGCAUUCAAUCCUCCAAUCCGGGCGAGCCGGGCGCGUGCGGGCGGUGCGGCGACAGCUGUUUCCUCGACCACGCUGUGUCUGUGCGGCGUGGAUGCGGUGCGGCGGGGACGCGUGGUGGCGGCGGCGGCGGGGGAGCCACUGCGGCGGCGCUGGCGAUGUAGCCGAAUGACCGGCGCUGCUCGCACGGCACGAGGCGGCGGGGAGGGGGCCGCCGGGAUGGAGGGGAAGGGCGCGGUGGCGGCCGGGCUGGUGGGGUUCCUGGGGAUGGGGCUCGACAGGGUGCGGCUGCUGCCGCUGCCGGAGAAGCUGUCGGCCAAGGCGCUGCGGAGCCACGUGCGGGGGCACGGCUCGCGGGAGGCGCGGGAGCGGUGGUGGCGCUGGACGCUCUUCCUCUGGGUGGUCGGCUGGACGCUCAUCUGCCUGCAGAUCUUCCACUACUUCGACUCCGGCGCCGUGGAGAAGCGCCGGGAGUCGCUCGCCAGCAUGUGCGACGAGCGCGCCCGCAUGCUUCAGGACCAGUUCAACGUCAGCAUGAACCACCUCCAGGCGCUCGCCAUCCUCGUCAACACCUUCCACCACUCGCUCAACCCCUCCGCCAUCACCCAGGCGACGUUCGCGAGGUACGCGGAGAGGACGGCGUUCGAGCGGCCGCUGACGAGCGGGGUGGCGUACGCGGUGCGGGUCACGCACGCCGAGCGGGACCAGUUCGAGCGGCAGCAGGGCUGGAGCAUCAAGAAGAUGUACUCCUCCCCCAACUCGCAGGGGCCCGGCGACGCCGCCGUCGCCGAGAUCCGCGGCCCGGCCGACGAGUACGCCCCCGUCAUCUUCGCGCAGGACGCCUACAAGAACGUCAUCUCCUUCGACAUGCUCUCCGGCGCUGACGAUCGCGAGAACAUAAUACGAGCCAGAGAAUCCGGGAAGGGUGUUCUAACUGCUCCUUUCCAGCUGCUGAACGGCCGCCUCGGCGUGAUCUUGACAUACUCCGUGUACAAGUCCGAGCCCCCUGCGGAUGCGAGGCUGCAGGAGCGCGUCCAAGCCGCCAUAGGCUAUCUAGGUGGCAUAUUUGACAUAGAAGCGCUUGUCGACAAGUUGCUUCAUCAGCUCGCGGGGAAGCAGUCCAUCAUGGUGAAUGUGUAUGAUACUACCAAUGACAAGCCGAUCAGCAUGUAUGGUUCGGAUGAUACAGGCAGUGGGAUGUUCCAUAACAGCACGCUCAACUUUGGCGAUCCAUCUAGACGGCAUGAGAUGCAUUGCAGGUUCAUGCAAAAGCCACCAUUGCCAUGGCUUGCAAUAACAUAUUCGUUAGGGGCUUAUGUGAUUGCUUUGCUCAUUGGACAUAUAUUUUAUGCUACUGUGCAUCGUAUCGCAAAGGUUGAAGAUGAUCUUCAAAUUAUGAAGAAGCUCAAGAAGUGUGCGGAAGCUGCAGAUGUUGCCAAGUCACAGUUCCUGGCUACAGUUUCACAUGAGAUCAGAACUCCAAUGAAUGGGGUUUUAGGAAUGCUCCAAAUGCUCAUGGAUACUGAUCUGGACACAACGCAGCAAGACUAUGUUAGAACAGCCCAAGCCAGCGGAAAGGCUUUAGUGUCCCUUAUAAACGAGGUUCUUGAUCAGGCGAAGAUAGAAUCUGGCAAACUCGAGCUUGAGGCAGUGCCCUUCGAUCUUAGACUAGUCUGUGAUGACAUCUUGUCUCUCUUCUGUGGAAAAGCUCAGGAGAAAGGACUGGAGUUGGCAGUGUAUGUCUCUGAUCAAGUUCCACAAACACUUAUUGGUGAUCCGGGUAGAAUGAGGCAAAUCAUUACAAAUCUCAUGGGGAACUCCAUAAAAUUUACAGAAAGAGGACACAUCUACUUGACAGUUCAUGUCGUCGAAGAGGUCAUGAGUUGUUUAGAGGUGGAAACAGAAUUUCAAAACACAAACAACACCUACAACACCUUGAGUGGCUACAAGGUAGCUAACAGAAGGCAUAGUUGGCAGAGCUUCCAGCUUUUCAAUACGGAUUUACACUCGGCUGAGAUGCCCUUUGCUCCUAUCCUGCCUGAAACAAUAAGAUUGAUAAUAUCUGUUGAAGAUACCGGCGUCGGCAUCCCACCUGAAGCCCAAUCCCGGAUAUUCAUGCCUUUCAUGCAGGUUGGUCCAUCCAUUGCCCGCAUCCAUGGGGGCACGGGCAUCGGAUUAAGCAUCAGCAAGUGCCUGGUUCAUCUCAUGAAGGGGGAGAUUGGGUAUGUAAGCAUACCCAAUGUUGGUUCUACUUUCUCCUUCACUGCAGUGCUUACGAAGGCACGCUCCAAUGCAAAUGCUAACAAAUCGCCAGGGUUUAAAGGGAUAAAUGCAUUGGUAGUUGAUCAUAAGCCGGUUCGUGCCAAGGUUACCAAGUACCAUUUGCAAAGGCUUGGAGUCAAAACGGAAUUGACCACUGAUGUAAACCAAGUUAUUCCUAAGAUGAACUGCGCAUCACUAGUUACAAGGCUAGUGCUAGUUGACAAGGAAACCUGGAUGAAGGAAUCCCAUUCAAUGCCUCAUUUGCUUAGCAAACUGCGGAGCAAAGAUCAGUCAGACCCUCCGAAGCUCUUUCUUUUGGAGAACCCUACGAAUUCUAUCAAGAGCAGUUCAAAUAUAUCGAGGGAGCAUAACUUGAAUGUAAUCAUGAAGCCGCUUCGUGCAAGUAUGCUUCAGGCCUCACUAAGGCGGGCUUUGGGCGGAGUAGAUAAGGUGCAUGGCAAGAAUGGAGUCGUUGGCAACUCAGCGUUGGGUAGCCUUCUUCACAAGAGGCAAAUCAUUGUGGUUGACGAUAACGUUGUGAACCUUAAAGUGGCUGCUGGUGCUCUCAAGAAGUAUGGCGCAGAAGUAAUUUGUGCAGACAGUGGGAAGAAAGCAAUCGCAUUGCUAAAACCACCUCACAGUUUUGAUGCUUGUUUCAUGGACAUACAAAUGCCAGAAAUGGAUGGGUUUGAAGCCACCAAGAGGAUCAGAAUGAUGGAACGAGAGCUAAAUGAGCGGAUAGAACGCGGAGAAGCGCCACCAGAAUGUGCUAAAGUUCGGAGGUGGCGAACUCCGAUAUUGGCCAUGACGGCAGAUGUUAUCCAGGCAACAUAUGAGCAGUGCUUGAAAUGUGAAAUGGAUGGCUAUGUCUCCAAGCCAUUCGAAGGGGAGCAGUUGUACAGAGAAGUAACUCGAUUUUUCCAAAGUCAUGACCAUGUUCAGUAGGUAGGUCUAUAUGGAUUGUAAAUUAGUGGAGGAUGUCACCACACAGCUCAUGGCAUUGGUGCGGAGGAGUUUGUUGAAGCUGCAGUGCUCCCAAGAGUAUGAGCUUAAAAACCUGGAGAUCGAUGGAACCACCAGGCUCUGUUUCUUGGUACACCAUCCCACCAAGAGGCAAAGAAAAAAGCUGUAAAGCUCUUGGAGUCGAGGUGCACGUGUGGCAUUUUGUUCAGCAACUUCUCGAAGACGGUUCACGCGAAAAAAAAAGGCCAACCGCAUACGCUGACAGCAGGUUUCAGCUCGACCGAUGUCCUCCGCCUUUGUAAUGUAAAUGUAAAAUAUAGGGAGAGCAAAAUUUUCCUUCCUUUUUCCUCCCCGGGAAUUGUAUGGGUGUACAUAAUUAGGUGUUGGUGGUUUGUGCAGGAAUUUCCCUUUUGUGCAUUUGAAUGUGUUUUUUUGCGCGGUGUGUCCCAAGCUGUAAGUCAUCACACAUUCAAAGCUGAAGCCUUCGUUUUCUUGAUCUCUCAGCUGGUGUGUUCUCCUUCUUUCCUGUCCCUGUCCCUAUCAGAGUCCUCAACCUCCUGAAGUCUCUCCUGCUGUUGGUUGGGUUUCUCUUCUCUUCUCUUCUCUUCUCUUCCCAGCUAAUAUACAUGCAUAUCCUACUUGGUGGUGUGGCUUUUGUGGCGUCUCCGUCCGAUGAAAACGGCUUUUGCCUGAUGUCACCCACCAAUGGCUAAACCCUUGUUUAGUACGUGGUCCGGGCCGUUGUCAUGGCACCUAACUGCUGCAUUAUGUCCAUCGUUCCCCAAGGUCUCCAAACUGACGCACUUUCUUGCGAUGGAGGCUAAACUAAUCGUGGUGGUUGCAAUGGUGUAAUCCUGUGUUCACUUGCUCCAGCGUUGCCCUUGUGCUUGUCCCGGUGCUUACCGGUCUCCAUUGACAUAUAUAACCUCUUUCUCUAUGGCUGUGCUGGUGCCUUUGUCAAUGAAACCGGCGGAUUCAACCACCUUUCAUCAUCAUCGGAAAGAGGAAAACUAUGAUUGUGUCGAUAUCUAUGGUUUUUUCUUCGAACACGAAUUUUG
rnacentral:rRNA from 1 species